rnacentral:rRNA from 1 species
AACGCGAAGAACCUUACCUACCCUUGACAUCCUCCGAACCUUACUGAGAUGUGAGGGUGCCGAAAGGAGCGGAGAGACAGGUGCUGCAUGGCUGUCGUCAGCUCGUGUCGUGAGAUGUUGGGUUAAGUCCCGUAACGAGCGCAACCCUUGUUCUUCGUUGCCAUCAAGUAAAGUUGAGCACUCGAAGAAGACUGCCGGUGACAAACCGGAGGAAGGUGGGGAUGACGUCAAGUCAUCAUGGCCUUUAUGGGUAGGGCUACACACGUGCUACAAUGGGGUGCACAGAGGGCUGCCAACCUGCAAAGGGGAGCUAAUCCUAGAAAACACCUCGUAGUCCGGAUCGAAGUCUGCAACUCGACUUCGUGAAGUUGGAAUCGCUAGUAAUCGCGAAUCAGAAUGUCGCGGUGAAUACGUUCCCGGGCCUUGUACACACCGACAUA